GUAGGUGGCAAGCGUUGUCCGGAAUUAUUGGGGCGUAAAGCGCGCGCAGGCGGUUCGUUUAAGUCUGAUGUGAAAGCCCACGGGCUCAACCGUGGAGGGUCAUUGGAAACUGGAGGACUUGAGUACAGAAGAGGAAAGCGGAAUUCCACGUGUAGCGGUGAAAUGCGUAGAGAUGUGGAGGAACACCAGUGGCGAAGGCGGCUUUCUGGUCUGUAACUGACGCUGAGGCGCGAAAGCGUGGGGAGCAAACAGGAUUAGAUACCCUGGUAGUCCACGCCGUAAACGAUGAGUGCUAAGUGUUAGGGGGUUUCCGCCCCUUAGUGCUGCAGCUAACGCAUUAAGCACUCCGCCUGGGGAGUACGGCCGCAAAGGCUG
rnacentral:rRNA from 1 species